rnacentral:lncRNA from 1 species
UGAUACUUUUCACGUCUGGUAACUACAUUGGAACUUGGCAGUAGAACCCUUCUCUCCUGAUAACUGUUCUACGUUGGAACCCGGCAGUAGAACCCUUCACUUCCGGUUAGAACCUGGCAGCAAAACUCUUCACUUCCGGCAACUACGUCGGAACCUGCCGGUAGAACCCUUCACUUGAUGUAACUACGUUGGAACUUAGCAGUAAACCCUUCACUUCCGAUUGGGACCUGGCAGUAGAACCCUUCACUUCUGGCAACUACGUCGGAACCUGCCGGUAGAACCCUUCACUUGAUGUAACUACGUUGGAACCUGGCAGUGGCAACUAUGUCGGAACCUGGCAGUAGAACCCUUCACUUCCUGUAUUUAUGUUGGAACCUGGCAGUAGAACCCUUCACUUCCUGUAUUUAUGUUGGAACCUGGCAGUAAACCCUUCACUUCCGAUUGGAACCUGGCAGCAGGACCCUUCACUUCCGGCAACUACGUCGGAACCUGGCAGCAGAACCCUUAACUUCCGGUAACUACAUUGGAACUCAGCAGUAGAACCCUUUCUUGACACUGUCCUACUUUGGUAUCCGGCAGUAAAAUGUUUUAUUUUCGUUGACUAGGUUGGAACUCAGUAGUAGAACCCUUUUCUUUCGAUAACUGUUCUACGUUGGAACCUGGCAGUAGAACUGUUCUGUUCACUGACCUACGUUAAAGCCUGGAAAUACCCUUCUUUUCUGUUAACAGUUCUACCUUUGAACUCAGCACUAGAACCCUUCUGGUAACUGUUGUUGACUUUGUUUUUUUUUUUCUGCUGACUUUUUUUUUUUUUUUUUACCUAUGUCAGGUUGACACGGUGCUUGUUUAAUUUUUUUUCUUGCAAAAAAAGAACUCUACUGUAUUGCAUUGUGACCACCACCAUUUGUUUGUGUCUGUUGAUAUUGGAAAUUAAAUGUUGGACAAUAUCUGAUAUGUGCAAAUAUAUAUAAUGUAAUAUCUUUAACAUGUUUGGUUCAUAAACAUACUUUGUAUGUGUACAUUUAUUUAUUUUUUU